rnacentral:ncRNA from 2 species
UAAGCGGAGGAAAAGAAACUAA